rnacentral:rRNA from 1 species
GAUGAACGCUGGCGGCGUGCCUAAUACAUGCAAGUCGAGCGAACAGACGAUGAACUUGCUCCUCUGACGUUAGCGGCUGACGGGUGAGUAACACGUGGAUAACCUACCUAUAAGACUGGGAUAACUUCGGGAAACCGGAGCUAAUACCGGAUCAUAUAUUGAACCGCAUGGUUCAAUAGUGAAAGACGGUUUUGCUGUCACUUAUAGAUGGAUCCGCGCCGGAUUAGCUAGUUGGUAAGGUAACGGCCUACCAAGGCAACGAUGCGUAGCCGACCUGAGAGGGUGAUCAGCCACACUGGAACUGAGACACGGUCCAGACUCCUACGGGAGGCAGCAGUAGGGAAUAUUGCGCAAUGGGCGAAAGCCUGACGCAGCAACGCCGCGUGAGUGAUGAAGGUCUUCGGAUCGUAAAACUCUGUUAUUAGGGAAGAAAAAAUGCGGAAGUAACUAUGCACGUCUUGACGGUACCUAAUCAGAAAGCCACGGCUAACUACGUG